AGUUCCAGAAUAUUGCUGAUAAAGGCAAUAAUGUAAGUGCCAGGGGCUCAGGGUCAAGUGAGUGUCCUGUUUUCCUGGCCUUGUUCCAUAUUUAAAAAGAUCAGUUAACUCUCCUAACUACACUGGUGGUCAGGCCUGAAUUCCAGGCUCAUUUCAACUGAAGUGACCCUUUGUGUUCAGAUAAUGUUGAAGUCAGCAAGUAUCCUAGAGAUGGGUCCACCUUGUGCUCCAGGAAAAGGGGGCUCUAGGAAUUGCGGGGGGGCCUCUUCCUAAGACACCAGGAGCUGAAGGCCUCUCAGAACCUGAGGCCUGACCACCAGAGACUGGCUUUGCUGGUUUGGAGAGGGCUCUCUUUAGCCUCUCCCACCCGAGUCAGGCUCAGUCUGGGGCCCUGGCUCUCCUGCUUUUCAAGGAAGCAGCAGCCAUUCAACCACUGGCCCUAGGGACCAAAUGUCUGAGUCUCUGGUGCUUUAACUUUCUGGUGCUUCCUCUGUGUCCUCAGAUGGACUCUGGGCCCUUUUCUCCCCUGGUUUGGACACUGGGCUCCACACCUUCUUUGAGAAAUAGAAACAGAGCUGAUCUCCUGCCUCGUGUACCUCCAUUAGCCCUUUCCCCCAUCAGAAGUCUUUUGAAGAAAGCCCCAGGAUGAAUGGUCCUGCAGGCAGAAGGCAAUUCUGGGAUUAAUACUCAGCUCUUAGGGACCAGGAUGUGAGGGGAGACUGGGAUCCAUCAGGUUGUAUAGACAGCUCCCUACUCAGCAGAUUGCCUGUUGAGAUUCCACCCCAGGAUCUGAACUUGGGAUAUGCCUGAACCUUUCCACGCUGCAACUUGAGACAGUUCUUUUUGCUGUGACCUCAGUGCAAGUUGAUUAUGGGAUUGGGGAGUAAUAUUUUUAUGGGCUGAAUUCUGUCCCCCCCAGAAUUCAUAUGUUGAAGGUCUAGCCCCCAGAACCUCAGAAUGUGGCUGUAUUUGGAGAUAAGGCCUUUAAAAAGGUGAUUACAGUAAAAUGAAACUGUUAGGAUGGGCCCUAAUCCAAUCUGACUGGUGUCCUUACAAGAGGAGGAGAUCUGGACACACAGAGAGACACCAGGGGUGCAUGCACAGAGUAAAGGCUGCAGGAAGAGGCAGCAAAAGGGCAGCUGGUUGUGUGCAAACCGAGCAGAGAGGCCUCAGAGGAAACCUAACAUGCUGACACCUUGAUCUUGGACUUCUGCCUUCAAAAUGCAUGUCCAGUGUCUAAAUGACUCAUCUAACUGCUGUUCGAUAUAACAUCAGAAAUGCCACUGUGAGUAGAUACCACUGGAGAGGAGAGAGACACACCAGCAGGAGCACACAUAGAAGGAAGAUCAUCAUCCAUAAAGGGUUUCUCCUGCCUUGGCACAGACAUGCAAGAAGGGAAGUGGGGAAACGACCUUUUUCCUCUGUCCCUAAUUUCCAACUUAGCCUGGCUCCGAUAUGGGAACUAAGACUGGACCUUGGUCCUUCCUCUGUUAGUGCCCUUGGCCUCUUGGUCCUGGACUCCAAGGAUUAGCCUCCCUCUUGCCUCUGCCCACCCCUCUGUCUCACCACAUUCCUCCCUCCAGGUAGCUGGUCCUGCAGCUCCAACUAUGUGUCUGUGGGUCACAGAGCUGGGUGGGUGCACUUCAGUAUUGGGUAACACUGGGCCCUGAAGAAAGAACCAAUCAUGAAGGUAUCAUCAUCAAAUAGAUGACGGUAUCAUCAGAUAAACACCCCCAUUUUUCUGAUGAGGUUGUUGAGACCAAAAAUGGGGAAAGGAUCUGCUGAAGGUCACAUAGGGCUGAUCAAAUCUUCUAAUAGAUGUUACCAGAGACAUGUGCCAAAGCCAUGUGAGUCACUGAAAAACACAUCCCAUAGAGUAAUAGCUCAAUUCCAGUCUUUUUUUCUGCCUAUGUACCAAUCCAGUCUAUUUUUAAAAAGUCAGUCCUUGAAGCACUAUAUUAUCCCCCCAACCACUUUAUGUCAAAUAAAAUUCUAACAUGAAAAUAGAUGCACAUGAAAAUAGAUGGAGACUGCUCCCAUGAAACCACAUCUGGGAGAGCGGUCACUUCUGGGCCCUGGGUUCUGUAAGACACAUCAACAUGGUAGAUGAGGGACAGGCUGACUCUGGUGGUGAAACAUCUGAGAACCAGGCCAUUCAGAGGGGGAACUAGGGAAACUCAACCUGCAGAAGAAAAUACUAAAGAGAACCAUGACAGUGAGCUUCAAUCAUGAAGGAUGAAGGUGGGAAGGGCAGAGGUCACAUAUGUAUUGUUCCUUAGGGCAAAAUUAGGACCUAAUCCUGCUAGAAGUCAGAUUUAGGUCAAGAGAAGAAAGAACUUUCCAGGCUAGAAUGGGAUUUUUCUUUCUCCUCAGUCCUCUUGGGAAAGCGUUGUCUUAGCUUGGGCUCCUAUAACAAAAUACCAUAGGCUAGGUGGCUUAAACAACAAACAUUUAUUUCUCAGAGUU